rnacentral:lncRNA from 1 species
CCUGCAGAGAGAUGCAGUGGCUUCCCCGAACUGCUACGAAAAGACCAUUCUAGGCCGAAUACGAGAACAGUCCCCAGUGAUAACGCUUUUGUUGCUUUGGGAAAACAAAAACGUACACAUCAGCAGGGGGCAGUGAAUGUCUCGCCGCUCACAGGACUAUCCCCUGACAAAGUCUUGAAAGUUGAGAAACCGGUUCAAGAUGCCUCUGAAAGGCUGACGCAGAUAGAAACCGAUACCUCGAAGGAUGCUAAGAAUAAAGAGUGUGGAAAUGGCGAAUCUCAAACGGGAGAGACCUGGUCAAGUGCAUCUUCUCCUCCUGAAGAUCUAGCCCAGGAGCCCUGUAGCCCAGAAAGAGAGCACGUUUACCCGGCGCUGGAGUGUCACACCCUAGUGAGGGCCCUACGCUCCUACGAGAGCCUUUCUCCAACUGUGACACGGACGACCACCAAUCACUGCUCCAAAUGGAAGAAAGAGCGGGAAGCCGAGGAGCGAGACGGCACAAGCUCACCGCACGCCAAGGGCGAUUCCCGUCUGGUUAAGACGCCGACUCGAGGGCCAACCAAAAGACUGCUGGUACAGCGAGGAGGGCCCUCCAACAGCAGCGGGAUCCCUAGAGUGCGCACGAAGGCAGAGCCGACUCCUGCGGACGGUUUGUCUGCUUGUCAGGUGUCACGGCCUUCCCCUACACGUCCCUCGUCCAUUCGCACAUCGCUAAAUGAACUCAAACGCAACAGCAAUGCACGCCAGAGGGUAAACGCCCCGUCCGAUACCGGGAAACAAAAAGGUAACACUACAGAGAAGCUGACCCAGGAUAAGGACAAGUGUCAGGAGCCGUUUGUAAGGGGUUCGCCACUUCGUGUUUCCAAACGCCUAGCGCCCAACUCUGAAUCCCAGUCUCCCCCGAGCAUACACUCUCGCACCGCUGCUACGACUGCGAAGACGAUCCGCACCGCCAUCAUAAGUGCAGCCAAAGCCAAGUCAACCAAGACCCCUGGCACCAGAAUCCCAGGCUCUACUAUUCACAAACCGGCUGCCCAGCCCACGUGGAAAUGA